GGUUCUAGUAGUUUAAACAAAAAUUUUGGUCUUGUAAACCAAAGAUAAAGCCCAUUUUUAGAAC
rnacentral:tRNA from 1 species